AUUGAACGCUGGCGGCAUGCCUUACACAUGCAAGUCGAACGGCAGCACGGGUGCUUGCACCUGGUGGCGAGUGGCGAACGGGUGAGUAAUACAUCGGAACGUACCUUAUCGUGGGGGAUAACGCAGCGAAAGCUGUGCUAAUACCGCAUACGCCCUGAGGGGGAAAGCGGGGGAUCGAAAGACCUCGCGCGAUUAGAGCGGCCGAUGCCUGAUUAGCUUGUUGGUGGGGUAAAAGCCCACCAAGGCGAAGAUCAGUAGCUGGGCUGACAGGACGAUCAGCAACACUGGGACUGAGACACGGCCCAGACUCCUACGGGGGGCAGCAGUGGGGAAUUUUGGACAAUGGGAGCAACCCUGAUCCAGCAAUGCCGCGUGAGUAAAGAAGGCCUUCGGGUUGUAAAGCUCUUUUGUCAGGGAAGAAACACCGGCUCUAACACAGUCCGGGAAUGACGGUACCUGAAGAAUAAGCACCGGCUAACUACGUGCCAGCCGCCGCAGUAA
rnacentral:rRNA from 1 species